UCCAAGGGGUGCUGGACGCCAAGUCCGGCUGAGAUCAGGGCGUAGAUGCCGCCCGUGUCCCUCGCACCUGAUCCGGGUAAUGCCGGCGUAGGAAGUUGGAGCUG
rnacentral:ncRNA from 1 species